GGGCCUACAGGAACAAACCCAAUAGAUUCAGGGGCUUUUUAUGGGCUCAUAAUCCUUUGGUCCACGGUUCGAGUCCGUGUGGGCCCACCA
rnacentral:tRNA from 1 species